CAGAGGACACUCGGGGCGAGCCGUUCAGGACUCUCUGUCCGCCUGCAGCCCCCGCCUUCCCUGGUACCUCCGCAGAGACCCAAGAGGCGUCCAGAGGGGAGCCCAGGCGCACGGUCCCCAGGGAGGGGCCCCGCCCUCAGGCCCAGGCUUCCACAGGGUCAAGCGGUCUCAAGCCGGCGGCUCUCCCUGGUGGAUUCCUGCAGCUGCUUCCAUCCCGGGCCCUGCUGAAGCUGCCUUUGCUGAAAAGAUGUAGGGCACAGCCGCUGGGGUGAUAGUGGGAGACGGAAAGGUUGGCUGAGAGGCCUGAUUCCUUCCACGCAUCACAACCUGAAAAUCGCCAAAGGUCUUCCUUGUUGGGGAGGAGUGAAUGGCAGCACCGGAAGCCAAGGCCCCUCACCACCAAGAAGCCAGCAGCUCAUCCCCACCUUCUGGACCAAAGACACGAAGCAGAGACCAAGCCGAGCCAAGGUCAGGACCUGGGGCCACAGUCAAGGUCGGGGCCUGGGGUCGCGGUCAAGGUCGGGGCCUGGGGUCCCGGUCAAGGUCGGGGCCUGGGGUCACGGUCAAGGUCAGAGCCUGGGGCCACAGUGGAUUUCCUCCUGUGGGGAUGUCCUUGACGUCCACAGCUCAGGCCUGAGGGUCUGCCACCGGCUCCAGCAGCUGCCACAGGUGUCCUGGCUCACAGGGUGUCUCUGGCUCAGGGCCGGGGCUGUCUGCAACUCCCCUCUCCCCUGAGCCCUCUGAGUGGGGCUCCUCAAGCUCUCAGGGGCUCCGCCACACCUGGGCUUCCUGGGGGCUGGGUCCUGCCCUGUGACGCCUGCCAGGCUCUUUGUAGACAGUUACUGAUCUCCCAUUGGCUCCGGUUUUGUGGCUCUAAGUGCUUCUGGCCCUCCCUCCACACUCCCUGCCUCUCUGCUGAGUAGUUAAUUCACUAUAAGCACGCUCCAGAGGAAGUCUCCAGCCUCUUAGUGAAACUGCAGCGAUGAAUGAGAAUGAUCGGGCACCCAGGUCUGCCUCCAAGUCUCGCGGAUGGCCCAGAGACCGUGCAGUGGGAAGGUUGGCAGCAAGCUGAAGGUUUGAACUCUGGCUGUGCCCCUGCUGCCAGGGGACCUCAGGCAAAUCAUCUUUUUCUCUGGGCCUUGGUUUCCUCAGCUGUGGGGACAGUGCUGGCCCCGAGUCACUGGGCCGUUGUGAGGAUGGAGAGGGGGUCGUGCAGGCUCCUGGGUCCUCGCUGAAGCCACCCAGGAGUUCUCCUGCACUCUCAGGGGAGCCCUUGUGCUGACAUCUGAGGGUCACGGUUCAGUGGCUUCAGGGUCCAGACAGGCCCGGAGGCCAGGCCAGAUGUGGUGCAGCCAGGGGAGGGGGCAAGCCCCGGGGGCCGUGGGCCAUCGGUUCACACCACAUCAGGGGCCGGGAAUCCCACUCAGGGUUUAGCCCUAGGCUCCCCCCAGCACCCCCCUCCCAAUCCAGAGGACACUCCCAGCCCUGAGCAGCGAGCUCUGGGCAGGCAUCGGGAGAGGGAGCGCAUCUCGGCUCUUUGUGAGGAAUUACGUCCCGACAGGUCACUGACACAGAAAAGCCCUUUGUCCCAGCCAGCUGGCCGCCUGCUAAUGACAUCCAGCCUGCACCUUCCAAGGCCACCUCUGCAUCCAGAAAGGACAGUGGCGGCUCCAGCCGGGGAGGAACAAGGGCCACAGCUUCCCUGGGGUCAGGGGUGGGGAGGGUGGGUGAAGGCUCCGGACGCUUCUGCACGUUGCCCCAGAGCUGCGGACGGACCUCAGGUGACCGUCAAGACCUGCUGCGGAUCCAGUGACCCCUCCAAGGAGAGUGCCGAGUCCUGGGAAUUCUCUUCCUCCUCCUGCACCUCCAGGUGUCUCCCAGCUGCUGAGAAUGAGCCAAGGGACCAAGAUGGCCGCCUGGCUCCUGCAAGUGGAGAGGGUCUUGCUGGGGCCUGAACUGGCUGAGGUCUUGCAGCAGCUUCUUGAUGCCCCAUUCCCCAAACCCGGGCCCCCAAUGCCCCCGCCCCACCCCCGGGAGAAGAGCCCAGCCG
rnacentral:lncRNA from 10 species